AGAUGGAGUAGUUAAAUAGAAAUAUAUUCCUCGCCCUAGAAAUAGCCCGCUCUAAAAAGAAGUAGUCCGUUGCCCAGGGAGGGGUUCAUUUGGUAGAUUAGUCCUAUGGAUGGGUCGCCAUGUGGUCUCCUUUUGGGAUUGCUCGGUUAUCAGUCGAGGAGACUGUCCCUUUCUUAAGUUUUUAUGCGCUUUUCGGUUUACAUAAGUAUUCACUUUCGGGAGAAGUUGGCAAGUAAUGGUAAAGUCCAUCACGUACUUCACCUACCCCAAUCAGCUUCAUCGGCGAACCUUUCUCUUCUAAGUUUCCGAUGUAGGGCGAUUAGUGCUUCCUCCUUCUCACUCUCCAACCAUUUUCUGGCUGCGGACGAGGUAUACCUUCUUUGAUUCGUUUUACACCGGCCAACGAAUUAAAAGCACUUUGACCCUAGCCUAAUAAAUCAGCUUAGGCCAGACGCGCUCCAGCUCACUCGACCUUAGGGGGCUCUCUUAACUAUAAGACAUUUAGUUUCCCUUUAGAGUAGUCCCCGGG
rnacentral:lncRNA from 1 species